rnacentral:rRNA from 1 species
UACGAAGGGGGCUAGCGUUGCUCGGAAUCACUGGGCGUAAAGCGCACGUAGGCGGAUCUUUAAGUCAGGGGUGAAAUCCUGGAGCUCAACUCCAGAACUGCCUCUGAUACUGGGGAUCUUGAGUCCGGAAGAGGUAAGUGGAACUGCGAGUGUAGAGGUGAAAUUCGUAGAUAUUCGCAAGAACACCAGUGGCGAAGGCGGCUUACUGGUCCGGUACUGACGCUGAGACGCGAAAGCGUGGGGAGCGAACAGG